AUUGAACGCUGGCGGCAGGCCUAACACAUGCAAGUCGAGCGGAUGAAGGGAGCUUGCUCCUGGAUUCAGCGGCGGACGGGUGAGUAAUGCCUAGGAAUCUGCUUGGUAGUGGGGGAUAACGUCCGGAAACGGGCGCUAAUACCGCAUACGUCCUGAGGGAGAAAGUGGGGGAUCUUCGGACCUCACGCUAUCAGAUGAGCCUAGGUCGGAUUAGCUAGUUGGUGGGUUAAAGGCCUACCAAGGCGACGAUCCGUAACUGGUCUGAGAGGAUGAUCAGUCACACUGGAACUGAGACACGGUCCAGACUCCUACGGGAGGCAGCAGUGGGGAAUAUUGGACAGUGGGCGAAAGCCUGAUCCAGCCAUGCCGCGUGUGUGAAGAAGGUCUUCGGAUUGUAAAGCACUUUAAGUUGGGAGGAAGGGCAGUAAGUUAAUACCUUGCUGUUUUGACGUUACCAACAGAAUAAGCACCGGCUAACUUCGUG
rnacentral:rRNA from 1 species